AAUGAACGCUGGCGGCAGGCCUAACACAUGCAAGUCGAACGGAUCCUUCGGGAUUAGUGGCGGACGGGUGAGUAACGCGUGGGAACAUACCCUUUGGUACGGAAUAGCCUCGGGAAACUGGGAGUAAUACCGUAUGUGGUCGAGAGACGAAAGAUUUAUCGCCAAUGGAUUGGCCCGCGUUGGAUUAGGUAGUUGGUGGGGUAAUGGCCUACCAAGCCGACGAUCCAUAGCUGGUUUGAGAGGAUGAUCAGCCACACUGGGACUGAGACACGGCCCAGACUCCUACGGGAGGCAGCAGUGGGGAAUCUUAGACAAUGGGGGAAACCCUGAUCUAGCCAUGCCGCGUGAUCGAUGAAGGCCUUAGGGUUGUAAAGAUCUUUCAGGUGGGAAGAUAAUGACUGUACCGCCAGAAGAAGCCCCGGCUAACUCCGUGCCAGCAGCCGCAGUAA
rnacentral:rRNA from 1 species